GGAGAGGUCGCAUAGUCUGGCCGAGUGCGCGGGCCUGGAAAGCUCGUAACCUGAAAGGGUUCGAGGGUUCAAAUCCCUCCCUCUCCG
rnacentral:tRNA from 1 species